AUUACUAACUUCUAUAGACUGUAUAAAUUUAUUCUAAAUUCAAGCCUAAAAUAAUAUGUAAAAAUAAAAAUUAUGAAAAUGAAAUUUAAAAAGUAUGUAUAAUUACAUUAAAAUAGAUAUUUUAUGUACAAAUAUUUGCAAAAAAAAUGAAUAAAUGUAAUGUUGGGUUGAUUUCGAGUUUGACCUUUUGUAGUUAAAACUAAAUCAAAUUAAUUUUGGUUAGAGUUUCUUUUCAGUAGAAAACUAAGUCACACCAAUUACUUAAUUAGUGAUCAUAUUUAAACAUAUUAAUGAGUAAAAUUACUUAAUUAAAGGUCAUAUUAAUAACAAAUACAAAAAAUGAAUUGUAAGUUAUCAAAUCGGUGUAACUUUGGAGUGUAAGAUUACAUUAUUAUAGUGCGAUUCUUUUUGGUUGUUGUUAGCUAGAGUAGACACAUAUGAAUUAUAUGGGGUUUGACGUGUGAUAGUGUCUAUCAUGUCUAAAGUGUUUUAAAUUUUGAUUGUGGCGUUUGAAAUAUUUUUGAAUUACAUUUAAAAAUUUAUUUAAAUAUAAUAAUUAAUAAAAUUAUUUAUUUAGAGGAAAAGUUCGUUACAAAUAUAUAAGUAAUGAUUCUUAAGUAAUCAAUUUGACUUACAUAGAUGUGUAAGACUACAACAUUAAUGUUUUCUGUUUAUCAUCCUUUAUUAAUGAGAUAAAUAAAUUACAAAUGCCUAUUUAAGUGGCACAAUACUUAAAUGACAAUAAUAAUUAAUUAAGGAUAAUAUAGUAAAAUUAUGAUUGAAGAAAUGAAGCGGACAUAUCUUAAAUGACUUACAAUAACUGAUUAAAAGUGAUAUAACAAAAUUACUAUAAAAAAUAUUUAUGAAAAAAUUUAAGUGGGAAUAUUAGACCCCAAGUUAAUUUAAAUCAUUAAGAGUUAAUUUAUCAUUUUAAAUCUAUUUUACUUUUAUGUUAAAUAUUAUUAUCAUUUUCAUACUUAGAUGACUUAUAAUAAUUAAUUAGAAGUGAUAUUUAGCAAAAUGAAGGUUGAAGCAGUUAAAGUAGACAUGUCAUAAAUGUUUAUCUUUUUAAUUAAAUAUUAUUAAUUUUUUAAUACAUAAAUAACUUAUAAUAAUUAAUUAGGGGUAAUAUAGUAAAAUUACGGUUGAAGCAGCUGACAAGUAUGGCGAAAUUGCAAAAAUUUAAGUGGGUCUAAUAUAAGACGUCAAGUUAAUUUAAAACAUCAAGGGUUAAUUUAUCAUUUUAUGUCUAAUUUAUCUUUUUUUUAAAACAUCAAAUGUUAAUUUAUAAUUUUAUGUCUAUUUUAUCUUUUUUAUUAAAUAUUAUUAACUUUUUAAUAUUUAGAUGACGUAUAAUAAUUAAUUAAGGGUGAUACUUAGUAAAAUGAUGGUUGAAACAGACAUAUCAUAAAUAUUUAUUUUUUAAAUUAGAUAUUAUUAAUUUUUUAAUACAUAAAUAUUUAUAAUAAUUAAUUAGGGGUGAUAUAGUAAAAUCAUUAUUGAAGCAGUUGAGAAGCAUGUCGAAACCGCUGCAUCUAUAAUAUAGAAAUUUUCCGUAGUUUAUUUGUAAAAUUUCAAUUUAUAUAGAUAUUAGACAUCAACAAGCCAGUGCUAUUUCUUCUCUUAAUUUAUGUGAUAUAGAUAUAAUUUAGAUAAUCAAUCAUUAAAAUAAUUUAAAUUUUUAAUUAUUGUGAUUUAUAAUACUUUUCUUCUAUUAAAAUUUAAUUUUUAUAAUAUAUCAAUAUUUACCAUAUUUAAAGUAUUUUGAAUUGUGACUAUCGACAUUGAAAUAUUUUCUAAUUAUAUUUAAAUAAAAUUUAAAUUUAUUUGAAAUGUAAUAAUUAAUAAAAUUGCUUAAUUAAAUGACAUAUUAAUACCAAAUAUAAAAAUUAAUAAACUUAAGUUCUAUUUAUUAAUAUUUGUUUUUAAUAUGUUCGUUAAUUAAGUAAUUUUAUUAAAUAUUUACAUUUGUUAUUUAUAUGUCCAUUAAUUUGUUAUUUUCUAAAUAGUACACAAAAAUAUGAUCAAAUAUUUUUUGUGUUCUAAACUUUAAACAUAGAAUAUUUUUAUGUCACAAAUAUACUAAUUUUUAAAGUUAAAAGCAAUAGUAACCUCAGCUUGCAAUCGUAAUAAAUUAUUUUAAAUAAAAUAUUGUAAUUAAUCAAUAUUUCUACUUCAGGUUAUUAAGAAAUGUAAAAACAUUUAAAUGUGGACAUAACUAAUUUUUAUUUAGAGUACUAAGAAAUUAUGACAAUGGUUAGCUUUAGUAGCUAUAACGAGUGAUUAUUUUGGGUUGAUGUUUACUAGGGCCAACAAUUAUGAACUCUAUGAUUUUUAUAAUGUGUUAAUAUCUAUCAUGUCUAAAGAAUUUUGAAUUUAGACAAUCGUUAUAGAAUUUUUUUUUAAUUAUAUUUUAAAACAAUUUAAAUAUGUUGUUCGAUUUUUUUAAACAUAAAAAUAAAAUUACUUAGUUAAAGUUCAUAUUAAUAAAAAAUAUAAUUAAUGAUUCACCGGUUAAUAACUAUACUUUUAAUUCACCAGUUAACAAAUAUAAUAAUUAAAGUACAUAGGAUCGCAAGACUAUAACAUUAAUAUGUGACUUUUUUGAAUUGAUGUUUAACCAAUAUCGAUUUUUUUUAAACUAUAUGAUUUUUAUUUUGUGUCGAUAUCUAUCAUGUCUAAAGUAAUUUGAGCUUUGACUAUCACUAUUGAAAUAUUUUUAAACAAUAUUUUUUUUGAAAGAACUAUUCAAAUAUGUAGUUUAAAUUUAUAUAAACAUAAAAAUUAAUAUAGUUCCUUAAUUAGAAGUCAUAUAUAUUAAUAAAAAUAUAAAUAAUGGUUCCUAAGUUAUCAAAUUGGCGUAACAUAGUGACAAAAGACUACAACAUCAAUGUGUGACUCUCUUAGGUUAUUGUUAAUUAAAGUCGAUGCUUAUGAACUAUAUGAUUUUUAUAACUUGUUAAUGUCUACCACGUCUAAAGUGUUUUAAGUUUUUAUUAUUUUUAUUAAAACAUUUUCAUAUUAUAUUAAAAAUUAUUUAACUAUUAAAACUUUUAGUUUUAAAACUUGUAAAUAUUUUUUUAUCUUUUCUUUAAGUGUAAGAUUAAUAUGGGGUAAUUUUUUUUUCAACUAAAAUAAUUUUUAUGUGAAAUUUUCAAAUGUUAUGUUGACUUUUUUCCGCUCUACUUCUAAAAAUAGAUAGAAAAGAUUUGAAAUAAAAAACAAUAUUUGAAUUAUCAUGAGAAAAAUUAUAGCAUAAUUAAAAAAUUAUACAACUGAAUUCAUAAAAAAAUAAUUAAUUUUUUGUGUUGAAAAUUUCGAUAAUUGCUUAUUUUAUGUUAUACUAAAAUAUGAAUCAUAUUUCCACAAAAAUAAAAAUCUAAAAGUUAUUCAAAAUUUUGAUAGGUUUUAAGAUAUAUAUCUACACCUCCUCUUUAUCUAUAUAACAUAAAGAGAUAUAAAAUUUAAAAUUAAAGAUUAAAAAAAUAAGAAUUAUUUAUAUGAUAAAACGCAUAAUUAAGUAGAUAUGAUACAUAAUAUAUAAUGUUAAAUUAAAAAUUUCAGAUAAUACUACUUUGGUCACACUGAUUUUGGAUAUAUGAGAAUAUAAUUAAUUAAUUUUAAAUUAUUAUUUUUAUCCUAGACUAUUAUUUUCAAUCAAUAAGUACUAUGCAAUCAUAUUUAUGAAAAUUAUGUUAAUUUGUUCAUUCUCAUGUAUUGAGAUAGUUUUCAAUGUAUUGGGAAAGUGUAGUAAAAUAAUUAAUGAAAGAAUUUUAAAUUUAAGAUGAAAGGGACAAAAAUGUCCAAAAGAAAACUAAUUUAUAGUGUGAAUAAAAUUUAUUACUAUUAUGUUCAAAUUAUGGCCAAAUUUUAUGGCCAAAAGGUAUUUUCCUAUUUUAUAAAUAGAGAUUGUUGAGCAAGAGGAAAAGCUAAGAAGGAUCAAAGGUAUGCAAUUUCCCGUGUGUCUUAAAUCUGUUUUAUCUUUUAUUUUGAGAAUUAAAAUCUCACCGCGCUCACCAGCAGCAGCAGCAGCAACAGCAUCAUCCUGUCGAUACAAGUUCAACAGCAAAGAUGAAAAGUCCACACAACUUAGGUUUAAACUACAUAAGUAUGUCUAAAUGAACAAUUUCUUGAAAAAGGCAACAAUAAUAACGACGAUAUACCAGUGUAUUCCUACAAAGUGGGGUCUGGGGAGGGUAUAGUGUAUGCAAUCCAUACCACUACCUUAGAUGAAGUAGAGGUUGUUUUCGAUAGACCCCCAACCCAGGAAAGAUAAUAGUAUAAUCAAAUAAACAAACGAAAAACAUAAAAGCACACAAUAAAAACGGGAGACACGCAGCUAAAUAAUAAAAAAAGUAAGACACCCAUACGAUAAUACUAUAAACCAUCUAUUCGAAAUCAAAGACAUCACCGUAGCAUCAUGAACAAGCAACUACGAGCGUAGAUACAAACAAAAGAACUCGUACCUACUAUUACGGACGAAUUCCUACCCAUUAACCCUCUACCAUAGUCUGCGUUCUCUACACCUUCCUGUGAAGGGUCAUAUCCUCCAUAAGCUAUAACUGCCCCAUAUCAUGCUUAAUCACCUCCCUCCAAUAUUUCCUCGAUCUGCCUCUACCCUGUCUAAAACCAUCCACAACCAACAUCUCAUACCUCCGAACUGGAGUAUCCGUGUCCCUCCUCAUCACAUGCCCGAACCAUCGUAACCUCACUUCCCGCAUCUUGUCCUCCACCGAAGACACUUUUACAUUCUCUCGAAUAAUCUCAUUUCUAUCCCUAUUACUCCUGCUAAGUCCACACAUUCACCGCAAUAUCUUCAUCUUCACCAACUUCAAUUUUUGGAUAUGUGAGUUUUUAUCUGGCCAACACUCCGCUCCAUACAACAUAGCCGGUCAGACUGCCACUCUGUAGAACUUACUUUUAAGCUUAGGAGACACCUUCUUAUCACACAAGACCCCCGAAGCGAGCCUCUAUUUCAACCCCCCUGCACCAAUACGGUGCGUCACAUCCUCAUCAAUCUCGUCAUUCCUCUGAAUCAUAGAUUCAAGAUACUUGAAACUCUCUUUCUUCUAAAUGGCCUGGGAAUUCAGCUUUACUACCAUGUCAGCCUUAUGCGACAAAUCACUAAACUUACAUUUCAAGUAUUUGGUCUUGGUCUUGUGCAACCUAAAUCCUUUGUCAAAAUCCUUAUGAUGUUAAACAACCUUGUCAACCACUCUAAACCUGCCCUACCAGUGCUCUUUCAAAAAUCUAUCGAAAUGUUGACUGGCCCAGUCACCUUACCCCUACAUAUUUUACCAAUAGCCCCCUUAACCUUCUCCACCUUAAUACGCCUACAAUAACAACAUGAAACUUUUGUCCCACUCGUCAUUCAAAACUCUAUGAAAAUAGGACUGUCACCUCUUCCUAAUGAGGGCAUCUUCAACCAACACUUGACAUCCUCUCCCUUGAUGCACUUCACUUGGUCAAGGUUACGAACCCUCCGCUCAAUGGCCUUGCCAAGCCUAUACAACUUCUUAUCCUCGUCUUUCUCCUCUAAUGUUGCAAAAAAGCUCUCAAAAGUUGUGGUCUUAAUCGCGUACCCGCUAAUUUAGCCUCUCUUCUAGCUAACUUAUACUCUUCCCUAUUCAUCUGCGUCUCCUCGUCAUCCUUACGACAACCAACUUAGCAUAGGCCAUCUUCUUAGUCUUCACCUUUCUUUUAACUUCUUCGUUCCGCCACCAGUCCCUCGGGUGUUUGCCAGAUCAACUGCUCGAGACACCCACCUCCUCUCUAGUGGUCUCUCUAAUGCAACUAGUAGUCGUCUCCCACAUAUUAUUCACAUCCCUUUUACUUUCCCCAGUUCCUAUAGUCGUUAACUUCUCCUUUAUUUUCACGGCAUUGGCCAAAGGCAAACUACCCUACGUAUUCCUGGGUCGAUCCUCCACACCUCUCUUCUUUCUGCCCUUUUGAUUAUUAAGUCCAUCAACAACAACUUCUGUUGGGUCGAAAGUUUCUCGCUAGAUAUGACUUCACAGUCUUUACAUAGCGCUCUAUCACCUUCCUAAGGAGAAAAAAGUCUAUCUGGAUCUUGGCACCGAACUACUAAAGGUAAUAAGGUGCUCCUCCUUCGGGAAGCUCGAAUUCACUACCCACAACCCAAAAACCCUAGCAAAUCCAAAAGUGAAACUUCUCCUUCAUUUCGUUCCCCGAAAUUGAAACCGCUAUGUACAUCGUUAUAACCUCCCAAUAAAGACCCAAUAUGCUUGAAAUCCCCUCCAACGAAAAGCUUCUCAGUGCUCGGAAUGCCUCUCACCACCUUAUCCAAAACCUUCUAAAAGCUCUUCUCCUCCUCAUCCAACCCUGUUUGCGGAACAUAGGCACUAAUAACAUUCAACAUAGAUCCUUCAAUGACCAACUUAAUCGACGUCAACCUAUCGUUAACUCGUUUAACCUCCACCACUUGCCCCUUAAGGUCUUCAUCUACUAAGAUACCUACCACAUUUCUAUGUCUCACGCUACCCGAGUACCACAAUUUAUACCCCUCUACAUCCUUCGCCUUAGAGCCUACCCAUUUGGUUUCCUUGACACAAGCCAUACUAAUUCUCCUCUUCCUAAGAAUCUGUUCGAGCUCUAUGGACUUACCCUGAAGAGUCCCUAUAUUUCAAGACCCGACCCUCAACCUAGAAGCUCCCUUAUCCCACCUAACCCUACUACCCCUCGCUCCCAACCCCAAACUAGAUCCUACACCCAACCCAUACCCAACACCAGAACCAGACCUCACCCUCACCCAGACCCUAGUCCAGCCCGCAGCCCUGACCCCGACAUAAGAUAUGACCCUAGUUUACCAUCGAUCCCUACACCACUACUCAAUACGGUAAGAGAAGAAAAAUAAGUCGAGCAAGUAGGUAACGCUAAAACAAAUCAAGAAUCAAUCAACUGCAUAUACCAAAAGCAACAAAACCUAUAUACUGUAAGGCAAGUUUAGAUAAACAACAAUCAAUAACAAGAACUAUACUACCCACCAGAACUCUGGUCGGCUUUAGAAAGUAACACCAACAACUGCAGAAAAUAACAACAUGGACCCAGGUAAAUAGAUAUGCUAGUCUCAGCUAACUUCUACCAAGUAACAGAGAACAAGAAUCACUAAUCCCACAAGAACCGUCAAGAUAAUCAAACAAGAAAUCAAGAGAGAAAGGACUGAAAAUAAGGAUAACGAACGUCACAGGAUGUAUCCGCCUCCAAUAGACAGGAAACCUAGACCAAAUAAACUAGAAGAGACGAAACGAGUGCACCUGAUUCGGGGAGAAGAUGGAGUAGGGACGUUUUCUUGAACCGGUUUGUCAGAUUCUGGCAAUUUGAUGCAGAAAUUGGUCGCUGGAAUUGCUGUCGUCGCCUUUACCUAUUGCUGAUACCGUCCCCGAACUUGAUCGCUGGAAAAUGUAUUGUUUGCCGGGAAAUGCGUUGUUCUCUGGAAAAUGUACGCUGCCGUAGAAGAUGCACCAGACUUGAAGUACUUGAAAGGGGUUAUAAAGCAAAGGAAAGAGUUUGGAUUUGGUCGUCGGAGAAGUCUCAGAUCUGGUCCUUAUAGCACUAGAGAUGGAGAAGAGAACGACGGGAUGGUCGGAAUUAUUCGUCGGAUCUAUAAAAUUUAUUCCGACGGGAUGGUCGGAAAUUCUAUUCGUUGGAUCUAUAUAUACAGUACAGCAUGUUGACUGCCGCCAGCGUUGAUAAGGGAAUUUUGACAAUAAUAAUAAUGUUGACAAGGUAUUCAGCACUGUUACUGGGGACGGCAAUCAACUCCGGCGACGGAAAUGCUCAAGAGAAUAACCAAUAAAAUUGAAGUUCUAUUAUAAAUUAGAUUUCGAUAGCAGGAAUAAGCAUAUUUUUAUGCUCAUCCUUCUCUGUAAGUGUGUAUAGUCAGCAAUAUAUGUUAUUUUUAUAACUUCUAUUUCAUUAAUAUGAAAUCAGAUGAGAGAUAUAUAAGCUAGGAAAAGCCAUUUUUAUGGGGAUAUAAUGUAUUUGAAAGUGUUAUUCUUUUAACAAGUUGGAAUAAUGUAUCUGGAAGUCCUUUCUUAAUACCAGGGCUUGAGCUAGUGGCAGGGUUCAGGUUAAUCAUUUUAGGUUCUACUUCCAUGUUUUUUCUUUUAGAGGGUGAGAUAUAUCAAGUCAGCCUUGAAUCACUCGCCCUACACAUCAAAAAUGUAAUAGAGAUUGACUCUUCUGUUUAACUUGGGUCGUAGGAUAUAGUGUUAUCAUAAAUGGGAACUGGUUUACUUGCAGAGUGGUACAUGAUUUGCAAUAUGAUUUGAGAGCAUGUACUUGAUCUUGUUGCAAUUUAACUUAAAAAACUUACAAGGAGAAAAAAAAUGUGUGCGCGCACACACAUAUCAGGCUUGAAGUUUUUUAGAUAAGCAGUCUUUUUUACUUUAGAGUUCAGGGAUUGUUUAUUGAAGAAAGGGGAGUGAGGGGUGCAUGGGGAUGGGGGGAGCCCUCAUUUUAUUGAUGGGAAUUUUCAUCCCCCUUAUUUUUUUUUAGUAAUUUUCUCCCCCCCCCCCCCCCCCCCGUACUCCCCUGCUUCUGCUCUAGGAAAGGGUAUAUAUUCUUUUAGUUUCAACUCAAAUGUUGUGAAAAGUGCAUUCCGAAUAUUUGGAUUUCAAGGAUGGUGUUCAUUGGGUUAAAGAUGCUCAGUAUUUUAUGACCAUCCUUAUUGGGAGACUUUAUCUUAUAUUCUCAUAGGAGGUCGUCUUAACCUUUUCCACAUCUUGUGAAAAUCAGUUUGUCUUAAUUGACAAAACUAGCUGAGGGGUAGCACUGGUGUUUGCUUUAAAUUUUGAAAUUCUUUUUCAAGCAGAACUCUUUUUUCAUCAAACAGCAAGGAAGGAAAAGAAUUUUAUUUUUUCGCAAAAAACUGUCUGUCUUGGAAUUUGAUUGGGGAACAAGUUUUUUAAAAAAUAUCAAUUUUUUUUUUUGGUUGAAACUUCCCUUCACAUUUUUGAAGCUGACACCAAUGUCUCUCAUUCACUUCGACAAGAUCGCCAAGGGGAGAAAAGGGGAAGGGGCAGUUGCUAGUAUAGUUCGUGGAUUUUUAUCCAUGCUUUGACAUUCUUCUUAUUUCUUAUUACAAGGUUCCAUGAAACCAUGAUGAGUACUUACCUGUACUUCCUGUAUGUGCCUGUUCGUUGUAUUAUGUUGAUAUGGGUGACCUCCUUGUGUUAUGUUUGAAUGUCCUGGCUGUUGCACUUUUAGCUUGGUGUGUUUUUCUAGUUAUGUGGUGGGCGAGAUAGAUGUAUUGAUGCUCGUUAAAAUGAGAUAUAUGGUUAUAAUGUCGAAUAUGAGAAACCUACUAGGUCACUAGGAUAUGCAUAUUGUCCAAGUUGAGAAAACAUCCUACUUUGAACAGGUCUUGAAUGCUCUUUCUAUAAUUUUGGCAGUUUAUACAUCUUGCCUUGUUGUGCUUUCAUAAAAGUAGAGGCUAUUUUGCUUUGUAAUGUGAUGCCUGUGGUCUGGUAACAGGGACAGUUACAUGCUCUGGCUUUACUAGAACUGCCUUAUUAUUUGUUUUUGGUUGUUUAAUCAUGGAAUCAUUUUUGAGCCUUCGUCAUGAGUAACUGAUCUUUUUGUUGGUAAUCAGGCUGCAUGCACAGGCGCUCACACUUGCUGCAUUAGCAGGUGCUGCAGUUGUCGAGUACUAUGACCAUAACUCGGGAGCUAAAGCGGAACGUGUUGCCAAGUUCCUUCAACCGCAAGCCCAUUCUCACAAGGAGUGAAUCAUGACAUCAGUUGAUGAAUAAAAACCAAAUUUAUUACGCACAGCUUUAUCUCUGAGUUUUACUAAAUCAAUUGUUUAGUACUGGUUUUCCUCCUUAGGAUAUGAUUAAUGUGGGCCUGCUGCUACACCAGCACUAGUCCCCUCUCUUUUCUAAAGGCUAAUGAACUUUAUUACUAUAUGAGACUAGUCCCAAUUUGCUUCGACUUUUGUGGGUUUAUUUACAGUCGUCAGACAAUGAUUCAUCGGAACUCGGAAGUAACCUUCUUAGCAGCAUCUUUUUUUUUUAAAAAAAAAAAAAUGUUAGAAGUAUGUGCAAAUUAAAAGUUUGAGGGUACGCAUCUUGUAUGUAUUAUUAGUAUUGUUUGAAUGUCUGUACAAUUAUUGCGAAUGCAUCUAAAUUCUCUCAUAAAAGGAGUAGAACUUCUGUUAUAGUAGUUGUAUACAAUAUCAACAAAUUUUAGUAGCUCGGUUGGUUGACUACAUGAAUUUUCACUAUUUUGGAAUUCCCUCCCUAUUUCUCCUACCCCCAAUUUAUUUUUUAAAUAAUUUAACUAAAUCGGAAAUAAAACAGAAUUUAAAUUGUCUAAUUUCAACAAUUUUGUGUGAUAAGUUCAACUUGCCUCUUAUAUUUUCCUCUUAACUACUUUUAUAAGCUUUACAACAAAACAAAAUUUCUGUUUGAUAAGUUCAAAUUGACUCUUAUACUUAAAUAGUAUUAAUUUUACAUUGUGGUAUAAGUUUAACGUUUAGAAGAGCGGGAUUCGGUAUUUGUUUCAAUCUUAUAAUCCUACUCUUCAAAUUUGAGCAUAUUCAGAGAUUGAGACCUUGUAGGUGAGGGCUUAAUAUGAGUUUAUGCUUUGUGAUUUAACGAUAGACUUCAAGUUCUUACCAAAUCAGUUUAGUACACUUUCUAACCCACUGUAUCCAUAAGUCACGGUUUCUUUUUCAAGUAUCAUGUGUGUUCAUGAAUUUUACUAGAUAAUUAACUUUCGUUAUUGUGAAAUACGUAUAGUUGUUUAUAUUUACAAAGACAGGGAUCCUUUUAUUUCUAUAUUUAUUCAUAUAGUUCUAACAGAUAUAAUGUGUAAUGUGUAUCUGAAAGUGAACUCCGUUAGCAUAUGAUAAAUUUAUAACGGGAGAGUUCUCCAUUUUUUUUUAUUUUUUUUUUGGAAAAACAGCGCAACAAGCGUAGCUUGCUUAGUUUAGUCUUGUGAAAAAUGAGUUUAAGGUAGCCCCUAUCUAUGGCGAGGAGAUAACACGGUAGGAAAUUAAAUUCUCACUAAUAAGAUAAAAGUCUGGAUAACCACCGAACGAAGACUCAAAUCUUUCUUUAGUUUGCUAGAUUUUCUUUUUUUGUCCCAUGAAAUUGUUAAUAUCAAGUUUAAGUUUACCCGGAGAUCCUUUGUAUUUUUAAAAAUUUUUAGUAGUCUUUAAAACUCAAUAUUAAAAAUUAGAACUACUCUUUCUUCCUCAAACAACUCUUUCAUCCACUAUAAAAUCUUACAUAAGAAAGAUGUAAUCUUCUGAUUCUUCUUCUCAAGAUCGUCAACUCAAGGACUUUGCUUUGUUCUUGAAUUGAAGAAAUACUUGUUAAAAAUUUCACCUAAUCUUUGAUCAAAUCGUGGAGAUAUAUAUGAAAGCUUGUGAUACUUGAUAAAGAGGACUUUUUCGUAUGUGGAACACUUGUGAUCACCCCUAAGAGCAGAGCUUCUGUCUUUUCUCUUUUUCCCUCUUUGGCCUUAUGAAGACUUUUAUAUAGACGUGAGCUAUGAUUUGAGACUUGAGAACAUUUUGAUCUCCAAAUAAUUUUAGCGGACUUUGAACUUGAAUAGCAUGGACUAGGCUCGCCUUGUCGAUUUAAUAGACUAGGCCAAAUGCAAUUAAACUUCAUUUAAAUCAUACACUUUAAACUUAAAUAUUAAUCUAACUUUAUUAAACAAAAAUUUGAUUUGAUCAACAUAUUAUGAAUUUAAGAUUUAAUUUAAUAUAUAAUAUAAAUUUAUCCAAUAAAAUUUUAAUGUCUACGGAUUACUAGGCCAAAAAAAUAAAAAAGUAUUUUUCAGUAUAAUCAUAGAAAAUAAAAUAUUAACCAUAUUGUAUAGGUAAGAAAUUAGAAGUCUAGAUAGAUGGGAGAGUUGAGACUUUAGGCACUUUUAAAAAUUUAAUUUGACAAAAAAACACGUGUCAUCAAAUAAUUAAAAAAAAAAAAAGAGACGCGCUAAAUGACCUACAAAAAAAGUAACAAUUCUAGCACACAAGUUUAAAAACAUACACUUCAGUCCCCCCUAACUUCAACCCUUAAAUUUUAGAAACUACACUUUAACUCAUGUCCAAAGAUAUAAAUGUUAGAUAUUAAAUUAUAUAUAUAUAUCCCAAAUCUUCCAAAACAAGCUAAUUUUUCCUCCUAUUUAGCAAUUUUUCAUCGAUCGUCAACUCAUUUUCUGGUGAUUUUUCGAUAAUUUUUUCGGCUUCCAUCGAAAACUCGCACCACCUCCACUUUUUCAGACACCUUUCCACUAUUUUUAUCCCUCCAUUUUUAGUCAAAAUGCUUCAAAUCACUCCCACUUUUUUGAAAGAGAUUCUAGCUUAUUAGCUACAUUCGAAUACCCAUUAUCUUCUUUCAAAGCUAUAAUCCAUUGCAUUAUUCUGGUGGUCAUCAAAAAAGUGAUCAAGAUGUUUAAAUCAAGUACUCUAUGGAUAUCUAAUCAUAAAAGAUGACUACAGUCCAGUAAGUCUAGAGAUAUAGACCACUGAUUCAGUCUAUUCGAUAUUAUCAUCUAGAUAUAUCAUGUCUAUUGCAGAAUACAUAGUUGUUGUUGGUGAAUUUUUAGGUGAAUGGAAAGAUACUCCUAAAUGUUAAAAUUGAAAAUCCACAUCUAAUAUGACAGUUUUCAUUGUCCUUUAUUGCAAUGGUUCAUACAAUGACAUGGUUAAAAGCGUAAUGAAGAGGGGGACUGAAGUUGCAAUCCAAACGACAUGGUCAUUAGUUACUUGAUGAAAGAGAUGGGUAAAAUUCAUCCAACGUUCAUAAAUAAUGACAGACACGUGAAAUUGUACAUGUUUUGUGUUGAUUACGAUCAAUCUAGGCCUAUUUUGAUGAUUAAAAUUGUUGAAAGGUCCCGGAAAUAAGAUUUCACAUCAUCCCCACCUCUAUCCCCACUUCUACCCCUAUGCCCAGUAGUGUAUAAUAACUUAAUGGGAUACGAGUGCAUAGGUGAUCAUACAAUGGAAGAUUCUGAAGAAUUUAUUGAAUAAGAGUGCGAUAGAGGUGUUGAGAGGUAGUGCAAAUCAUAAGCAAGCCACUCUUUCUAGGAUGAAACCGAUCUCUAUGUUGGGAAAAUAUUUGACGAUAAGAAAAAAUUGAAGACUUGCAAAAAACCUCUGUGAAGAAGUCUUUUAAUUUUACUACGGAUAAGACUUGUAAAAAAUACGAUAAGGAAAGGUGUGUAGAUCCUACUUGGCGGUGGAUGGUGCAAUCAUUUGUGAAUAAAGCAUUGAGUAGGUUUGAAAUCUAUAAAUACAUCGGUAAGCACACUUGUAGCAUUGAACAUGUCACAGGUGGCUAUAAGAAUGUCACUGUCGAUGUCAUUGCCUUAAUUUCUUUAAACUUUUUCAUUGACAAUAAAGGUCCAAACACAAAGGUGAUCGAGAUGAUCGUUUUCAGGGAGCUACGUUGCAAACUAGGCUAUUGAAAAUAUUGAAUAAAAAGGUAUCAUUGCAAAGAACAUUAUUUGAGGGAUACCGAAGCAUGAGUACGCAGUGUUGCUCUUUUUUUGGCAUAUUUUUAACGUCCUCAAUCCUGAAUCUAUAAAUUUUCUCAUGAUCGAUGAGGAUUCUAACAAGUUUAUAUACUAUUUAUAGAAUUUGAGGCUUUCGUUCGGAGAUAUGCAUACAUGAGAAAGGUCGUUGCAUUUGUAUGGCAAGUACUAGGCAUGUUGUCCGUUAUCACACAAGAUACGCAGAAUCAUAUCUACUCCAUAGCGUAUUAUGUGGUGGAUAAGAAGAAUGAGCGUCAUGGAACUAUUUUUAAGAGGCUUAAGGCCAUUGUCAUCGACGAACCAGAAUUGUGCGUUAUUUUUAAAAGACACGUAAACAUAAACAACAGCCUCACAAAGCAUUAUCGACACGUGCACACGAGUGUGCAUGAGGAAUCUCAAUGAAAAUAUCCAAAAAUAUCACCAUUGUGGAGAUUAUCUCCAUGUGUACUACCAUGUGACUAAGGCAUACACCUUGAAUGAGUUUAAUGAUUACUUCAACUUAUCAAAGAAAAAUAUCUUGACACGGCAGUUUGCCUCGAUCGUCAUGUUGGAUUUGAAAAGUAAAGUAGGGCACAACUUUUAGAAAAUAGAUUCAAUGUCACGACCACGAAUAUCACUGAGUCUCUUAAGGCAAUGUUGGUCGAUGAAUGAGAGUACCUAGUAGCCGCCAUCUGUAAUUCAAUUGUUCAUCGAUUUGGCAAACUAUUUAAGAAGAGGUAUGCAAAUAUGAUCAAUUCAACAAAUAUAUUCAUUCCCAAAGUGGAGAAGGUCUUAAGGAAAAACAUAACUGAGGGGGAGGCCUUGUAUAUGAACAAUAUAAACGAAAGCACCAACGAAUUCACCAUAAUUGAUUCUGGUCCUUUAGCCAAAGUCAAUCUAUUUGAAAGUCAUGUUCUUUUAGGCAGUACGAGUUAAUGAAAUUACCAUGCACUUGCGCAAUGGUAGCCUUGCGAUUGAAGAAUGGAAACGAUUAUGAUAAUAGCAUGUACGACUACUCUUCGCCCAUCUAUUCGAAAACAUCAUACCUCCUUUCAUACUUGGAACUUAUUUGUGCAGUCUCUCCAGAGUUGGAAUAGAGUGUGAUGCAUGAAUAUCUAGCAAUGCUGGUGCUUCCACGCGAUUUUGACCCCAAACUAGAGAGGAGAAAGAUGAAUUGCGUUAAGGGCGUCUCACAGUCUUUUAGGCCCAAGAGGAGGAACAAGUGCUUUAUAUGCAAAGGACAAGCCAUAAGAGAACAACAUGCAACCUUAAUGUAAGUAGAUAAGUUUUGUAUUGUAAUUUUUGUUUUGUCAAAGAUAAUGGACAAGUUGUAAUGCUACUGUCACGGUUCUAUCUUAAAAUAUAAUAAAAAUAUAGUUUUAAUUGACUUAUCUUGUUAUUUAUUAUCGAAUUUAAUUAAUUUGUUAUGUAAUGUUGAAUCAGUCGAUUAUACACUCAUACUAGUUAAAUAUAUAAUAAAUCGUAUGCUUUGUAUAUAUACGAACCCCUAAACAUAUAAUCUAAAAUAGACCUUUGUUUGGUCUAUUUAAGAAACCUUAUUCAAAAUACACUAAACAAUGCAAUGUAAUCAUGAUGUAUGGAAUAAGUGCCCAUUUGAAAUAACUCGACCUGCUCGACUGAGGCAUCUUUUUAUUUUUGCACGCCUUCUUGUCUACGCACAUGCUACAUAUGUUGAGCAACGAUUGAUUCCUUUAUUUCUUUAAUGAUCUAUGUAAGAAAUCUAGAGGUUUAUUUUGCACUUACUUAUCUUCCUCAAGAAGCACAAAUAAACUACAACAAUGGUAAGGACUUAAAAUAUUCGGCUCAUGCGAAGAAUGCAAACCACACGUAAUCAAGAUAUGCUCAGGAUGAGGAGCCGCCUGAAUUUUCUCUUUCAGGACCUCACCAUUGAUCAACGCCGUCUGGAUAUGGAGCUCUGACGAAUGGCCCGCUUCUUCCGGUCCAUAGAUGAGAGGCUCCGGCUGGACCCCAACAACCUUAUAACCCCCAAGAUCCUUGUAGUAUUCUGUAGUCUAGUAUUUUCUUGUUGCUUAGAGUUUAUUACUGAAGCUUUCAUGGUGAUUUGAUUUUGCAAAUGAAAGAUUUUUUUUUUUAUACUUUUUGUUGGAUUUCGUUCCUAUUAAUGUAUGUAAUAGCAAUAAACUUUUAAGUUUAAUAUAAAUCCUCUAAUUCUGUUCAAGUAUUGUGUUCAAUUUAUGUUCAAGUAUUAUAUUGCAUUUUAUUUUUUUCAAUUUCCUCUACAAGUUUUAUAUAACACGAUUGAUGCUAGAUCAUUUUUAUGAUAUUCAUAAAUUGUAAAGAUGUAUUUAAUAUCUACAUAGCAUACGCCCAAAAAGGAGUGAAAAAAAUUAAAUAUUUGAAUAAAAUUGACAAAAGUCGAAACAUUCAACAAAUACUAGAAUAUAUGAAUAGCAUUUCUAGAAAAUAUAAAUAACAUUUCUAGAAUAUUCAUAAAUCAUUGUUGAUACACUAAAUUGUAAAAUACAUUAUAAAUAUUUUUGUUUAUCGAUACAUGACAUAUGCAAAAGGUCGGUGAUCGGUUAAUUGAAUAUAUGAAUAACUUAAGAUUAUGACUAAAAAAGGUGAAAUUAAAUAAACACUACAAUAUUUUAGUCUUUUGGUCACACUAAAUUUGGACCACACUUAUAAAGGAUGGCCUUUCUAUUAAAGACCACGCUUUUAAAGUGUAGCCUUAAUGUUUAGCUUCUGUCCACAUUAAUUUUGGCAACAUUUUGAAAGGAUGAUAUUAAUGAUAUAGGCCACACUUUAAAGUGUUGAAAAAUCACGAUUUAAUCGAAAACACUUAUUCACAUAUAUAACUAUACUUUUAAAUGUGGUCUUUGUAAUAAUAUAAAAGACAACACUUUUAAAAUGUGACCUAAAAUUUUUAUUAAAAUAUUUUAGUAUCCCUCCAAAAUAUUUCACUCUCUCUCCAAUUUAUAAUUGGCCAAAAAUAAUUAAGAAAAGUAAGCAUUUACACUCUCAGAUAUAUCAUUCUCUCUCACAAUUUUUUUUUACAAAUAUAUCUAUUCUCUAUCACACACAAAAUCCUAUGACCAAAUUUCUUCAAGUCCAUGGAAUCCAUCAAAUUUCUUUGAAUUUCAUUAGUCAAAAUACUCAAAUUUCAUUUCACAGUAGCUCGAUUUGCAAUGGAUUCGAAGAAAUUUGAAGGAUAUAUAUAUAUACACACACACAAAGAAAUGAAGGAUUUAUAAUUUAAGAUUUGACCCUUUUGUUGUUACUUUUUCCAAUUCUCUUUACUCAUCAUCAUCAGAUAUGAUUUGUAUUUAAAUCCUUGAAAAGGGGUUUUCAUUGUCGUUGAUAUUGUUGUUGUUGUUGUUGUUACAAUGUGAGGUUGUGAUAAUUGAGGUGUGUAGAGUUCAUGGGUAACAGAGCUAUAGGUGUAACUUGGCCGGGCAACCCGGAUUUCACAAUAACAAUAACUCAUUCAAUUCACCUACCACAUUCUCACAACAUUCCUUCAAUGGCUACCAAAGUCUUCAUUGUGUAAGCACUCUAUUUUUCUCUAUAUUUAUAUCUUCUUGCUUUUGUGCAUGUUUUGUUUUUAGAAAAAUGUAUAUAUAUAUUUUUGAGUUUUGGGUUCUUUGUUGUGAUAUUUAGAGUGGAAUGAAUUGUGGGCAUGAUUUAUUUUUUGUUAAUUUGAUAUGGGUUGGUAGAUUCUUGGUUCUUAUUUUGGAUCUAUGUAUGUAUAUGCGCUGGUAAAGACUCUGUCUUUAUGUGACUUAUUGUAAUCAUCUAAGGCUUUUCAAGAUUUUUUGAGGUUCUAUAGGAUACAACCUCUUUACCUCUACGAGGUAAUGGUAAGGUCUACGUACAGAUCCCACUUGUGAGAUUACACUAGAUUGUUGUUGUUGUUGUUGUUGGUUUUCCAAGGAUCAAUUUGAUGAAUGCCCUUGUUGAAGAUAUUGUGUGGAACACUACAUUUGUUUCCAAUAUUUGUUGUCUUGAUCUAAUGUUGAAAAAAUUAUUAUUUAUUAGAAGAUUGUUAUGAAAAUGAUUUAGCCAAUCAAUUGUUGCAGGCUUUGGUUAGGUAUUCUAUUUUUGUCUUUUUAAUAAAAUGACAUUCUUUAUAUUAAAAAAUUAUACCACCCUAUUCACUUUUACAAGUGUUUGUUUGUCCUGAUCUAAGGUAGGAAAAUAUUUGCUUACUAAAAGGUUCUUAUGAAAUUGAUUUAAUAACUAAUUCACAGUUAUUGUAUUACUAGUCUUUAUUAGAUAACAUUCUUGAAAUUGAAUAAUAUCAACUUGAAGCUCCAAGAUGGAGUUGUUGAUCUUAUCUUUUGUAAACGUUCUUGCUGAUUAGAAUCAACUAUCAAAUAAAUUUAUUGCCUGAACUGCAUAGCCUUUUCAUGAUUCCUAUAGAAUAGGUUUCAUUGGAUGAUUUGUGAUUAUUGAGUGCCAACUUUUUCUUCCGUUUCAUCUCUAGAACACUUCUAUGAAAUUGGAUUCUAAUGUAUGUGUCCUCAUUUGGAUGUAUUGGUGUUAUUUAAUUGGAUUUCUUACAACUAGUCAAGUUGAUUUGGACUCUUGUUCAAUUUAAAGUUAACUUUUAUGUGUCUCAUACGUAUAUUUGAUACUGUGAAGUCUUAUAAAUCCCUUAAAAAUUAUCUGUAAAAGUAGGGAUGGUUUGUAUAGUUCAUUUGAUUUUUAAUUUCAAGAAUUGUAAAAGUAAUGGUUAAAAAUAUGAAUGUAUGUAGUUAAUACUCCAUGUAUGGACAUGUUGAGAAGCUAGCACAAGAGAUAAAGAAAGGAGUUGCAUUAGUUGAAGGCGUAGAAGCCAAACUAUGGCAGGUCGGUACAUUUAUUUUUAAUAAUGAUAUUUAUGUUAGUGUUAUUUACAAAAUUCUUGAUCCCUAAAAAUUGAAGAAAUAUUGUGAUUUUGACUUUGCAAAUUGAAUAUCUCCUUAAAUUUUUACAUUGAUCAUUGGGAGUGUGGAAUUUCUAGACUCCAAGUCCUUACCUAAAAUUUCUUCUGAGAAAUCAUUCUCUUGACAUUUGAUGCAGUGAUUCCUAGUUUUACUAAUAAAUUGAUUGAACUUACAAUGAGUCAAUGCAAUUACAAAAACAAAACCAUUCAAUGAUGAUCUAUAUAGUUGAAUUGUCUUUUCUCAAGUCACUAUGACUCUAACUUUUUCUUGAUUUCUUGAUUUCUUGAUUCCUAUGAUUGAUUCCAAAUUCUGAACAGUGCCCCUUUAGAAGGAUUUGAAGAUGUGAGAAAAACUAAAGAAUGUAUAUCGCUAUGUGUUCAACUUUUUGUUGAUUCGCGAUUGGCAACAGGUACUAGACAGGUGCAAAAAUGGGUGGUCCAGCAAAAGGUGAUGCACCAAUUAUCACACCAAAUGAUCUUAAUGAAGCUGACGGCUUUUUGUUCGAGUUACUAACAAGAUUUGGGAUGAUGGAUGCUCAGUUCAAGGCAUCUCUUGAUGCCACUGGAGGUCUCUGGAGAACUCAACAACUUGCUGGUAAGCCAUAGGGUCUUUUCUACUGCACUGGCUCUCAAAAAGGUGGCCAGGAAACUGCAGCAUUAGUUUUUUUUCUCAAAGACUUUCACCUUUUGAUUUUGAAUUUUAUUUGAAUAUUAUAAGUGAAAAUUUUAAAUUUUUCAGAUACUAGUCAUCUAAGAAGGUGUGUGAACUAUAAAUGAUAUUUAAGGUAGCAAAAUGAUACUAAAUAGGUAGCAUCUGUAAGCAACUUGUUCUAAUUAUUUGGCCUGAAAACAAUGUAUUCAUCUUUUGUUAAUAGAUCAUCAAUGGACUAAAAUAUUUUUAAAAUUUUGUUAGGACUCAUUGGACAUAUAACACAUGGAAAAAGAAUGUUAUGAUGACAAUCUUUGACAUUCAGGUGCCUAUGCCCUACUUUUAUCUCUGUAAACAACCUUUCAACACUAGUCAAUAGUUUUUCAACUCAAUUUUUUUUUUUUGACAUUUGGGGUGUGUUUGUUAGGGAGAUAAUGCUUUAUUUUUUUUCCAUGUUUGGUUGGAUAAAUUUUUUUGGAAAACAUUGUUUAGAAAAAUAAGUUCCUUACUGAAAAUAACUUCCACUAUGGAACUAUGAUAUUGUUUUAUGCCAUCUCAUUUUCAAACUACUCGAUUCAAAUGUAAUUUUACUUCUUAUUAAGAGAAUUCAUUACAUAAGGUAUUGUAAUCUUUCAGAUUUUCACUAGAAUGAAAGCUUAUUUCCUUAUCUAAAUACUUAUCAGUAACGUAAAGAGUGUGAUAGUUCAUUAGUUUUUAACUGAAAGUGACUAAUAUUUUUUUGCCUACUUUUCUUAUGCUUUAGUAUAUUUUGGCUUGUUCCAAGUACAGUAAAAAGGACUAACAAAUGAAUCGGUGAGGAAUAUGUUAACAUUAAGUAAAAAGAAGUCCCAUGGCUAGAGGCAUUGUGAAAAAUUACUUUGACACCAGACUUAGACUUAUCACUGAUGAGGAUUGUGCUAGUAACCUUACAGUAUUGUGAUAUAUCUAGCACAUUUGGUAUUAAGAGGAGGAAGGAAGGAGAUGUAUUUUCAUGAGGAAAGUGGAGGAAAAUGUAUAUGUAAGUUAGCAUUAUUAGAGAGAUUCCUUGUUAGGUCUGCAAAUAUUUUAAUUUUCACACCUUAAACUACCUUGCUCUAGCAUAAUUAAGUACAUAGAUGGUUGUAUUCAAUUAAUAUUUGAGAAAAAUUAAUUUAAUACUUACCUGAUUUUGACCUUUCUAUCUAUUCUUGGUGACUGCACACUUCUUGAAUUCAUAUAGCCUAUCCUAACUUGUUUCAAAUUGAGGAGUAGCUGUUGUUGUUGAAUAUUUAUCUAACUAUCUUGAGGAGUAGUAGUACUAUCUUGAGGAGUUUCUAGUUGACUGGUGAUACUAGAUAAUAUAAUGUACCUGUUGUUUCUAGUUUUCUUCAUGUGGUUAAUCCCUUUUUGCUUAUUUCUUCAUACGUCAUAGGUGUUAACCUAUAUCUAUCUUAGGUGGGUAAUAGUUUUCUUCAUGUUGUUCCUUCCUGACAAUAGUAGUUCAUCAUGUCUUAAAACACUCAUUGUUGAUGUUUAGCUUAUCAUGGAUAGAUGCUGACCUAACUGUUACUGCUGAAAUUGAUGGUGACACUUUUUGGUUCAAGUUUGCAUAUUUACUUUCAUUUCUGAUUUUUAGUUUAAUUUGAGAUUAAGACACUUGAAUUAAAAGCUUUUCUUCUCAAAUGAAAUGGUCUCUAUGCAAGCUCUUAAAGAACAUUAGUAUCUCAAAGCAUCUGUGGAAUACAAGCAUUUUUAAACUCAUUCAACCUGAUCUACAAUAUGUGAAAUUUUGGAAACACGUGAAGCUAGUAAUGUGUUAAUAAAAGAUUCAAAAUUCAUAGAAGUUCUCUGGAGGAGAAUCAUUAAUUUGUUUCUAUGGGGGAUCAAUCCAUCCCCUCUCCUUUUCCCAGCAAAAAUUGAUCUCUGUGUUGACUUUCUCUGUCUGAACUUUCUUUGCAUGUCACAAGAACCCUAAUUCCUUCCCUAUGAAUCUUUGUAUUAAAUUGUUAAGGUAAAAUCAACCCAACUAAGGAAAAGAACACAAUCAAUUCUUUUAAGGGAGUUCUCCAGAUAACAAAUUGGGAAGAUGUUGCACCGAAGAGUAUAUUCAUACUGAACUAGCCUUCCAGGUUUGCAAGGAUAAACUUUGUGCAUCUUGUAUGGUCUCUUAAAGCUAAAUUCUAAACUUUGAACAUCAAUGAAACAAAAUGGUUGAAAGGCAAAGAUACAGUCUGGGAAAACUAUAGAAUUUGAUUGAACUUCCUAAGUUUGCCAACAGUGGGAGGUCUGAUAAAAUUUAAACUGAAUUUCUGAAAGGUUGUUUAGAAAAGGAGCCCUUCUCAUUUGUUUGAAUAAUAAAUAUUUGUACAUCAAUGAUGAUUUUGUGUUGUUUAUGAACUUGGUGAGGAUGUCCAUUCUGGUGUAGUUAACUAUCUGACUACGCCUCUAUGAUUUUUCUUGAUGAUAUGUGUUACUAUUUUACUAUAUUUUUGCAUGUUUUGAUCCCGCAGAUAUUUCUGCUGCUCUUCUUGUUGGAAGUCUUCAAGUUUUCACAUGUCUUUGAACUCGUUCGGAUAAGAGUCUCACUUUUCAACUCUUAGGUUCAUGAAAACGUAUUUUAUAUUUCAAAUUCACAAGAAAUUUAAAUCCUAAACUUUUAACUUUAUUGAAUAAAUUAAAGAAACUUUGGAUUCACAUACUUCCUCAUUCCAGAUUGAAAAGAUAUUUGAAUAUUUCUCGAGCAUAAUAUUUUUUCUAAAUGUUUGUUCAGUUUGAAUGUGUAGGAAUAAUGUGGGUGAUCAAAUUUGAAUGGUGGCCCCCACAAGUCAACUCAAUCUAGAUUGAAGUGAAUGAUGAUGAAUUUUUGAGCUAUUCUGAUAUAUGUUUACAUACAUUUGAUUUUAUGUGAAACUUAGUACGAAUCUUUAAAAUGUUAUUUUUUAAUUAGUAUGCAUAGUAAAAGAUAUGUUUUUUUGAAGUUCAUUGCAAGUCUAUGCAUUUGAAUUAUUUAUUAGCUAAUUGGUGCGUGAGAUUAUAUAUGUGUAUAUAUAUGUAAUACUAACAUUUUAUGUCUAAUGUCAUUUUUGUAAAAUGAGGCUUGAACUACCAAAUUUUAGACAAUUAUUUCUCACCUCAAAAGUGUGGCUUAUUAAUUAAAUUAUUGCAUGUACCUAAAACAUGCUUACACUUUACAAGUGUUGUCAUAGAGGAUGUAUAAAAGGCUACAAUUUUAAAGUGUGGUCGGUAAUAAAGAAAAAAAUCAUGUUUUUAAGUGUUGUUAUACAGGUGCUAUACAAGGCUACGCAUGUGAAGCGUGCCCAUUAACAAAGCAAAGGCCACACUUGAAAGUGUAGCUUUAUUAGAUAAAAGUGUUUCCAAUGAGAAGCUGCAAAGCAUGGACUUUAUACCUUAGUGGUCAUACUUUUUAAAUGUAUCUUACAUUGCAACCCUUGAAAAGUGUGGCCUAAAGUCAAAGGUUGCGCCUUUUUAGGCCACCACCCAAAAGUGUUGCCUAAAGUCCGAAAGCGUAGCCUUUGAUCAAAGGCCACACUUUCUGCUACUUUAGGUCACACUUUACAAGGGUGGAAAUAUGACUAAAAUAUUUUAGUGAAAAUAAAAUUAAAUAAAGUAGAUCAAUUAACGACAUUCAAAUAUUUUAAGACAAUUUAGCUACAUCGAUUGUGACUCUAUAUCACUUUUGAGCAUAUUCAAGUGAUAUUUAAAGCAUGCGAUUAUCCUAAAUCAUUAAGAUAGGCUAAAAAGAGGAAAAAAAUAAAAUAAAAUAAAUAAACAUCAUUCAAGCAAUGCAAAAUAACCAAAUCACAUAAUAUGAGAGUGUACAGAAAUUGAACACAUAAUCUAAUGAGUAUAGGGAAGAGUGAAGCUUGUGAGUGUCCAUAUGACAAGUAAUGUUUGAGAACAAGUAGUCCUUAUCAAAGCAUACGUUUGUUCUGAGUAACUCGUUGGUACUACCACUACUGUUACUUACACUUAUUAGAUCGGGUAUUCAAUUAUUAUGUACUCUCAUAUGAUGCUAUUUAGUUGUUUUCCAUUGUUUGAAUAGUGUUUAUUUUAUUUUAUUUCCCCAUUUCUAGUCCUAUUUGUCAAUAUACUCAUAUGGUUGAUGCUAGAACUAUAAAGAUAUCUUAUAUAUAUUACGUUUCUAGUCUGUAAUAGACAUUUAGGUCUAUUGUAUACCUAUAUAUUGUAGAUUGAUUUAUACAUUGAUACGAGAUUGUUCAAAAUGUCAAGUUUAGAUCAGUUGAGUCUAUUCUCAAGUAAGAUAGGACCAAAAAAAGAAGGAAAUAAAGUAAAAUAACAUCAUUCAAACAACACAAAAUAACUAGAUAUCAUCAUAUGAGAGUACACAAUAAUUGAAUACCCGAUCUAAUGAGUGUAAGGAAGAGCAAAAGUAGUAACAAUGUAUGUUUAGAGAAGGACUACUUAUUCUCAAAUAUUACUUGUCAUAUGAACACUCACAAGAAUCACUCUUCUCUAUACUCAUUAGAUCAUGUGCCCAAUUAUUGUGUACUCUCAUAUUAUGUGAUUUCGUUAGUUUGCGUUACUUGCAUGAUGUUAUUUUAUUCUAUUUUUUCCUUUUAGUCCUAUAUUAGUGAUUUAGGACAAUUGCAUGCCAUAAGUAUCACUUGAACAUGUUCAAAAGUAAUAUCGAGUCACAAUAGAUGUAGCUAAAUUUUCUUAAAAUAUUUGGAUGUUGUUAAUUUACCGACUUUUAUUUUAUUUAAUUUCUCCCCGUUUUAGUCCUAUCUUACAUAAAAAUAGAUUCAAUCAGUUAAGUCUCGACCUUUUGAACAGUCUCUUAUCGAUGUAUAGAUUAAUCUAUAACAUAUGUCACGACUCGAAUCAGGGCCUAACCGUGAUGGCUAUCUCAAGUCCGCCGAGUAUCGGAUAUAGCCCCUUUUACCUAGAAAAAUAGCACACAAUACAACUAGCAGCAGAUGAAUUCUUAAACUAUAACAAGAUAGGCUGAGUUUCAAACAUAUAACAAAAUAGGCAACUCAUAAUAGAAACUCCAAAAUUCUAACAACAUCCCAAUCCAAAGUAAUCCACAAAGCCUCUAAACAGACCAAAAUCAAUCUAUGCCUGGAUAUGCUCCCGACAAUAGCCAAAAAGGCCACCAAAGAAACAGUCUAUGACAAAACUAGACCAUGAAGUAAUAGGCCAUCUAGGAAAAGGAGGCUAACCACUUCAAGCUGACUCACGAACAAGGUUUAGCAUGAAAGUAAAACAUUAGCCUAGACUGUGCAGCUUAAUCAUCAUCAAAAGGAAUCUACGAGAUAUAUGGGUCUAACUCCCCCUGCUUAAAGGGCUCAUGUGAGUGUUAGCUGCACAAACCAGAGAUAUCAAGGAAGACCAGGAAAUGCUCCGACCUCACGUCAAUUUAGGAUACAAAAUGUAUAUAUAUAAAGUGUGUCAUAUGCACAUGGUCAUCAAGACCAAUCAUUACGCCGACAAAUGUGAGUUUUCGGAAUCAGUCCCCCUAGGAAUCCACCUUCACGACUUAGCUACAUAACCUCCUUUAAGCCCAUAUUAAAACAAGUUUCACAUAACCCAUCCAUUUAACCAAGGAAUUGACCAUUAAGGCACACCAUAGGUAUCGUCAUACCCUUACACUUGCAUUCUUAUAAUUAUACCAUUAUAAUUCUGUUAACUUGGGGAAAUGACUCAACCCCUUUGUUUAUUAAAUCAACAUGGGGGAAUGCCACGACACCCUUUAUUCAUUAAAUCAAAUUUGGGGAAUGCCUCGGCCCCUUUUUAGUUUAACAAUUUAACCCGAGGGAAUGCCUCGACCCCUGAGCUUUCAAUUUUUGAAUCAAAGCAUGGACAACAAGGCCUUCAAAAUCCAUGUUCAUCAGUUAACCAUUUAUGCAAUGCAAUAGUAUAGUUGAGCAAGUCAAACCAUGUGACUAAUCAUAUUUGAAGCCAAUUACACAAAUGAGUUGCGGGAACACAAUUUACAAAACCAAAUUCCAAAAUCAUAUUUGAAGCCAAUUACACAAAUGGGUUGAGGGAACACAAUUUACAAAACCAAAUUCCAAACCAAAAUCAUCAAAUUGGGGGAAUGCUUCAAACCCCUUUCCAAUUUCCAUACCCAUGCACCCAAGUAGUUCAAAAAUAGUUGAUAAAGCAUGAACAAUGCAUAUAAAAUCAUGUGAAUUCGAUUCAAGUUACAUCAUUUCCAAAACUCUCAACCAUAUCAACACCCACAUUCAAAUCCAUAUGAACAACCAUUUGAAUAAAUUCUUUAAGUAAAAUAAUUUUAAGGGAAGAUUAACAUGCCUGAGAUAUCAAGAAUUACGGAGAGAAAUCAACCCCUGGAAGCUCUAAUUACCAAUUCCUUAAGAAACCCUGGUGUUCUUAACUUAAGGAUUCGACAGAGAAAAUAAUACAUUUUAAUUUGCUAAGUGUGGAGAAUAUGGUCCCUAAUAUGCUUUUAAAUCAUGGGUCUUAAGUGGGGAAAGAGGGAAAUGACAAGAGUGCCCCCACUUAAAAGUACAGGAAAAGAUGACCAGUAGUCACAGUCACCUUAUGAUUCAUAAAGUUUUUCUAUGAGUCAUCUUCACAACUCGUAGUCUGAGCAGUAGCUCAAGGAUCCCUCACUGUUGACCUAUGAGUCACACACUAUGACUCAUGAGGUGUCACUACGAUACGUAGGGUCCUAGUUGUGGUCAAGGUAGAAACAUCAGUCACGUUUACUGGUUUGGCUAGGAAAGGCACUAUACGACUGGUUUAGAGUCUUUAUGACUUAUUGAGUCUAAUCAUACUCAGAACAAACACCUUGGGCAGCCUCACUGGUCACCCUACGAUUGGGGUCCUAUAAUCCAUAUGGUGACCUUACAACUCGUAAGGUAAGUUGUUGUCAGGGCAGCGAUUUUAAAAACUUAGGAAUUUUUCAGGGCCAAGAUCUGGGGUGUUGCAUUUUCCCCCCCAGGAUCAUUUGUCCCUGAAUGAUGAGUCAAGGCAUCCGUUAGAACAAUUUAACACAGAAACGCAACCAUAAUUACCUUUUAAAAAGAUAGAAAAUAAAGAUGUUUAGGGAUGCACAUACCUUAAGCACGAUUAUUCGGUGUGGGGAACAAGAACAAAUAUUUGGACUUCAUGUCCUCUUCAACUUCUUAAGUAGCUGCUUCAAGCUUAUGAUUCCUCCAUGGAAUUUUCACCGAAGCCAUAUCCUUAGUCCUCAAAUGACAAACUACCUAUCCAAAAUAUUAAGCAAGAUUUCCUCAUAAGAUAAGGAAUCCGAACAUCAACACUCUCUAAGGGAACAACCAAGGAAGGAUUACCCAUACACUUAUUUAAAACGAGACAUGGAACACUAUAUGCACAAAACCUAAAAUUAAAGGCAACUCCAGCUCAUAAGCAACAUUACCCACUCUCCUUAAGAUCAAGUACGGGCCAACAUAACAGGGACUGAGCUUUCCCUUUUUCCCAAACAUCAUCACCUCUUUCAAAAGGGGAUACUUUUAAGAAUACUCAAUUUCCAACAUCAAACUACAACUCCUUACGCAUCGCAUCCGCAAAGGACUUUUGGUGACUUUGGGCAUUAUUAAAACUAUCCCGAAUCACCUUCACCUUCUCUAUUGCCCGAUGAACUAAGUCAGGACCAAACAACCUAGUCUCACAGACUUCAAGCCACCCAAUAGGAGAAUGCCAUCUCCUACUAUACAAAGUCUCAAAUAGAGCCAUCUUAAUACUGGAAUAGUAGCUGUUAUUAUACACAAACUCUAUGAAAGGAAAAUGAUCAACCCAACUACCACCAAAGUCAAUCACAUAGGCCCUUAGCAUAUCAUUCAACAUCUGAAUGAUUCUCUCUGCUUUUCCAUUCGUAUGAGGGUAGAAAGCGGUACUAAGGUUAUCCUUAGUUCCCAAACCUCUCUAAAAUAACCACCAAAAGUGUGAUGAGAACUGCGUCCCUCGAUCAUAUAUAAUAGAAAUAGGCACACCAUGCAACUUGAAGAUCUCCUAAAUGAAAAGCUUAGCAUAAUCCUCUGAAGAAUAAUUAGUACUCACUAGCAAGAAGUGAGCGGACUUAGUCAUCCUAUCUACGAUGACCAAAAUCGAAUCAAACUAACUUCGAGAUUGUAGAAGACCAGUAACAAAGUCCAUGUUAAUUACUUCCCACUUCCACACGGGCAACUCGAUAUCUUUAGAUAACCACUAGGCCUUAAGUGCUCUGCCUUUACUUGCUGAAAAAUUGUAUACUUGGCAACAAAUUGGCUACAUCCCUCUUCAUGUUGUUCCACCAAUAGAUCUCUUUUAAAUUAUGGUACAUAUUUGUCGAACCAGAAUGGACAAUGUACCUCGACUUAUGAGCCUCAGCCAAGAUUUUUUCCCGCAACCCAUUAACAUCGGGAACACACAAUCUACUUUAGUAUCUUAGGAUACCAUCACCACCAAUAUCAAAAGCCAUGACUUUCUGCUGACCCACAUCAUCCUUAAUCUGCAUCAAGAUAGGAUCCAAAACCUGCUUCUCCUUCACCUUAGCCUAAAGAGAUAACUUUACCAUCUCUUACAAAAUCAUACUUCCAUCCUCAAAGUCCAAAAGAUGAACUUCAAGAUUAGCCAAAUGUAAUAUCCUUCACCAAACUUACUUUUCCUCAUCAACCUGGGAUAAGCUUCUCACACAGAACCUGCUAAGAGCAUCAACAAUCAUAUUAGCUUUCCUUAGGUGAUAAUGAAGACUCAUGUUAUAAUCUUUGAGUUAAGUAAACCAUCUCCUUUGCCGUAGAUUCAACUCCUUCUAGGUGAACACAUACUGCAAGCUCUUUUGGUCUGAAUAUAUGUCAACGUGAACAACAUACAAGUAACAUUGCUAAAUCUUCAAAACAAAGACCACAACCAAUAAAUCCAAAUCAUGAGUCGGAUAAUUCUUCUCAUGCACCUUAAGUUGCCUAGAAGCAUACACCAUAACCUUACCAUGCUGCAUCAACACAUGACCCAGUCCCACACGGGAUACAUUAUAAUAAAUAACAAAACCAUCAGUACGCUCGGAUAGGAUCAAAAUCAGAGCUAAAGUUAACUUAUUCUUUAAAUUUUCAAAGCUACCCUUACAAGCAUCGAAACACAUAAACUUCACCUUCUUCUGAGUCAAUCUAGUCAAUGAAGCGACGAUAAAAUAGAAACUUUUCACAAACCUCCUAUAAUACACGACUAAACCCAAGAAGCUCCGAAUAUCGAUUGGAGUUAUGGGUCUAGUCCACUUCUUAACCACCUCAACUUUCUGUGGAUCCACCAUGAUCCUCUUACUAGAAAUAACAUAACCCAUAAAAGUAAUGGCAUUCAACUAGAACUCACACUUUGAGAACUUAGCAUGCAAAUGCUGAUCCUUCAGAGUCUGCAACACUAUAUGUUGGUGAUUCAUAUGAUCCUCCUCACUCUUAAAGUAUACUAAGAUAUCAUCAAUAAAUACGAUGCUGUAUAAAUCCAAACACUGAUGGAAUACCCAAUUCAUAAGAUUCAUAAAUGCUGUUAGGGAAUUAGUCAAAUCGAGGAACAUAAUCAAGAUCUCAUAGUGGGCAUACCAAGUUUGAAAAAUAGUCUUAGGGAUGUCCACCUCCCUAAUAUUCAACAGAUGAUAACUCGACCAAAGGUCAAUAUUGGAAAAGUACUUAGCACCUUGAAGCUGGUCAAACAGGUCAUUAAUCCUAGGGAGAGGAUACUUAUUCUUCAUAGUCACCUUAUUCAACUGGCGAUAUUCUAUGCACAUCCAAAGAAAACCAUCUUUCUUACGCAUAAAAAGAAUAGGAGCACCCUAUGAAGAAACACUAGGGCAAAUAAAACCCUUGUCAAUGAGAUCUUUUAAUAGCUCCUUGAGUUCUUUCAACGUAGCCAGAGCUAUUUUGUAAGAAGGGAUAGAGAUAGGAUGGGUAUCCAUAAAGAAAUCAAUCCCAAAGUCUAUUUCUCUAUCGAGAGGAAUACCUGAAUGACUAUUGGAAAACACUUUAGGAAAUUCAUUAACAAUAAGGAUGGAUUGCAUAGAAGAGCCCUCAGAAUUAACAUCCGUAACCUAAACUAGAUGAUAUAAAAACCUCUUGGAAAUCUAUUUUUUGAGCUCUAAGAUAAGAAAUAAACCUUCCCUUAGGCACCAGGGAACUCCAUACCCAUUCAAUUGGGAAUUAGAAUCUGACCUUUUGGGUUCUUCAAUCAAGAGACGCAUAGCACUAAUAGAGACAAUCUAUCCCUAAUAUCACAUUAAAAUCUAAUAUAUCCAACUCUACCUGAUCCACCAAUGUCUCCCUACCACAUAUAGAUACUGUACAACCCCUAUAGACCCCUUUAACCAUAACAAAUUCACCCACCAGGGUAGACACAAAAAAGGAAUCAGAAAUACACCCAGGAUUGAAACCAAAAUAAAUAGCCACAUAAAAAAGGGUCACAUAAGAAAGAGUAGACCCCAGAUCAAGUAGAUAAUACACAUCAUGAGAGGAAAGCUAUAACAUACUAGUGAUAAUGUCAGGAGAAGACUCAGAUUCCUAACGAGUGGCAAGAGCAUAUAGAUAAUUCCGACCAGUGCAGUUACCAAACGUAGCACCCUUCGGUGCUGGAUCUGAAAACAUAGCAACUAUAACUUUAUUAUCUCCAAUAGCAAUAUCACCUAUAGGAUAGUUCCUCUGAAUAUGGCUAGGUUGGACAUAUCUGAAACACUUAUUUCUUCUCUCAUUAUAAAAACCAUGGUGCAACUGUCCAUAAAAUCUGCAAGGAGGAUAUAAUGGAGCUGACUAGGCUUUACUAGCCUGAGAUUGGGCACCUUGUACCUUAAACCCACUAUUUCUCUGAAAAUAAUGAUCACUCGAUGUCUUAGGAUAUGGAGCACUAGCUGUAAAAUAUGAACCAUAUUUUCCCCACUUCUUCUUUGACUACUACCUGCCAUCUCUACCACUAUUUUGCUAGCCUUCACCCUGCUUAGAAUACCUAAAUUUCUUACUCUGCCUUCCCCCUAUUUUGGCUUAUUUCUUCUUUUCAUCCUCCACCUGUUAUAUAUAUAUCACAAGCCUCGAUAUAUCGAUGUUAUUAUACAAUAAGACGACCUUACACUACACACCAAGGCCCAAGAAAAACUUGAAGUAAACUUUCUUAUUCUAGCCCUCAUAGACGACCCCAACUCCGGAGCAUAGCGAGACAAAUGGUGAAACUGUAGGGCAUACUCCUUCACCAUCAUCCUACCUUGUUUUAAAUUCACAAAUUCCUCAGCUUUUGCCUCCCUCAACUCUUAAGAAAAGAAGAGAUCAAUAAAGGAACUAGAGAAGUCAUCCCAUAUAGUUAGCUUAGAAUCUUCACCCCUCGACUACUCCCACUCCUAUUACCAUUAAUAUUCCAUACCCUUCAACUAAUAUCCGACGAACUCCACACCUUAAGAGUCAGUAGCAUGCCUCACUAAGAAAAUAUUUUCCAUCUCAUUUAUGAACCCAUGAGGAUCCUCCUUAACCUUGGAACUAGGGAAGGUCAGCGGACUCAACCUCAUGAACUGACCAACCCUUGUGGCCUCAGAAGAAGGAGUGACAUAAGAAACAUACUCAGACUGGAGCGACUAAGAGGCCACCAAUUGAGUAAAAAAAUGAACCAACUGGUGAAACUCAACAUUAGAUGCAUCUCACUAAGGUAUUAGGGUAUAAGUACCAUCAUCUUGAGAAUCUCGAGGAGGACUAGUAGGUACUGGUGGAACUCCAUGAGGGAAAUCAGAAGCAUAGACCCUAGAUCGGGUCUAUACCCCAUAAGCAGGAUGUGUCCAUCCACAUUGUUAUCCAGUGAUACCAAAGAGUUUCCACGAGCAUCAGAUCUUCUAGGAGGCAUGAUCUAAAAUAAGAAAAAAUGGGAAUUAGAUGAGAUUUCAACAUUUAGACUCUACUGUCCAAAAGUAGGACACAACAAAGAGAAAUAUUCCUAGUGCUUUGUAGCCUCUUACUUAUUAGUGUGGUGCGCUACAAUCCCAUAAAAGAGACUCUACUCGACAUAACUUUGUGGACACAUGAUUGACCAUGAUCCUCGGGCUUCUCACUGUGAUAGAUAUGUCAAGUAUACCGAGGAUCGGAGUCCACCCCAUUUACCUAGCCAAAUAACAUAUAAUACAAGUAGAAGUGGGUAAAUUCUAAACAUAUAACCAGAUAGGCUUAGUUACAAACAUAUAACAAGAUAGGCAACUCAGGAAAAUAAACUUCAGAAUUCUAACAACAUCCUAAUCCAUAGUAAUCCACAAAACCUCUAAACAUACCCAAACUAAUCUAAGUUAUGAAAUACCCCCGACAAUAGUCAAAAAGGUAACCAAAGAAACAGUUAUGAAAAAACUGGACCAUAAAGUAAUAGGCCAUCUAAAAGAAGGAGGCUUACCACUUUAAGCUGGCUCAUAAAUAGUCUAAGAACCACCUAUAACUAUGCUAUAAAAGUAGAAGUGUUUUUAGUUCCUGCAUUGCAUAGGGUACAACGUUCAGAGACAGUUGAUGGAGUGAGCGCUAGCAUAUAACUUAGGAAAAAGUAAAAUAAUGCCAAGUCAAAAUGAUAGUAAAAUCCAUAUGCACACAUUAUACAUACAUACAUGUUUAUAUACAUAUACAUACAUAUAUAUAUAUAUAACAUGCUGGGGUAGGGAAUAAGGUUUAAAAUGAAAGUAAAACAUUAGCCUGGACCGUGUGGCUUAAAUAUCAUAAAAAGGCACCCAUGGGCUAUAUGGGUUCAGCCCCUACUGAAAGGGUCCCAGUGCGUGUUAGCCGCACGAACCAUAGGUAUCAAGGAAGACCAGGGAAUGCCACGAACCCACAUCAUUCUAGGAAAUAAAUAUGUAUAUAUAUAAAGUUUGUCAUACGCACACAGUCAUCAAGACCAAUCCUCACAUCGGUAAAUGUGAAUAUCCAGUAUCUGUCCCAUUGGGAUAUCCAUCUUCACGGCUUAGUGACACAACCCCCAUUAAGGCCAUAUUAAAAUAAGUUUCACAAAAGGCAUCCAUUUAACCAAGGAAUUGACCAUUAAGGCACACUAUAGGUAUCGUCAUCCCCUUACGCUUGCAAACUCAUAAUUAUGCCAUACAAUUUCAUUAACUUGGGGAAAUGUCUCGACUACCUUUGUUUAUUAAAU
rnacentral:lncRNA from 1 species